rnacentral:rRNA from 1 species
AUUGAACGCUGGCGGCAGGCCUAACACAUGCAAGUCGAACGAGUGGCGGACGGGUGAGUAAUGUCUGGGAAACUGCCCGAUGGAGGGGGAUAACUACUGGAAACGGUAGCUAAUACCGCAUACCAUCGGAUGUGCCCAGAUGGGAUUAGCUAGUUGGUGGGGUAAAGGCUCACCUGGGCGACGAUCCCUAGCUGGUCUGAGAGGAUGCCCAGCCACAGUGGAACUGAGACACGGUCCAGACUCCGACGGGAAGCAGCAGUGGAGAAUAUUGCACAAUGGGCGCAAACCUGAUACAGCCAUGCCGCGUGUAUGAAGAAGGCCUUCGGGUUGUAAAGUACUUUCAGCGGGGAGGCGUUACCCGCAGAAGAAGCACCGGCUAACUCCGUGCCAGCAGCCGCGGUAAUUC